rfam:Saprolegnia diclina VS20 unplaced genomic scaffold supercont1.184, whole genome shotgun sequence.
GGUCUUGUAGUGUAGCGGUUAUCACGUCUCCUUGACGUGGAGAAGGCCCCCGGUUCAAGUCCGGGCAAGACCA